CCAUGGGUUUUGGAUCUUAUACUGAAAGCAAAGGAGGGCGGAAAGGAAGUAGAAAAGGAUUCGAAGCUGGGCUGGGCUUUGAAAUUGAAGUGUGGUAACACGCUUAUAUUUGUGUUUAGCGGCAACUCUGGCUUCUGGUGUAAAAUGGAUGAGGAGAGGAGCUUCAGGAGACCAGCCAGGAAGGUGCAAGUCUACAGAUUCAGUUGUUUGAGGGUAACUCAUCACUGUAGCCCCCAAAGUGUCUUAAACGGAGGAGCUGCACGUGCUCCGUGGGCCACCAUGAAGAGUUCACAUGAAUUGUGGCUUCUCCAAUCUUUCCUCCAUUGAUUAUAUUUUUGCCAUAAGGUAUUGGGUAAUAUCCUAUCCUGCAGGACUUGGAUUCAAGUAAGUUUACCUUGGGAUUUUUAAAAAGGUUGGGAAAUACUGCAGCUCUCCAAAACUGCUAAGUGGUGCAAAGCAUGGAUUCAUGUAAAGGUGGCUUUUCCCCUGUAGGUGGCGACUUGGGGGCAGGAAUUUUGCUGGUAAUUUUCAGGUUGUGAAGAUAAAACCAAGAAGCGACUUCACCAUGAGCAGGACUGCAAAGAAAUCAGGCAUGUUCAUACUGUUGAUGGCAUGAUAAAGUGACUUAAUC